rnacentral:rRNA from 1 species
GCAGUAGCCGCGGUAAUACAGAGGGUGCGAGCGUUAAUCGGAUUUACUGGGCGUAAAGCGUGCGUAGGCGGCUUCUUAAGUCGGAUGUGAAAUCCCUGAGCUUAACUUAGGAAUUGCAUUCGAUACUGGGAAGCUAGAGUAUGGGAGAGGAUGGUAGAAUUCCAGGUGUAGCGGUGAAAUGCGUAGAGAUCUGGAGGAAUACCGAUGGCGAAGGCAGCCAUCUGGCCUAAUACUGACGCUGAGGUACGAAAGCAUGGGGAGCAAACAGGAUUAGAUACCCGUGUAGUCCCUGUCUCUUAUAC